rnacentral:tRNA from 1 species
GUGACCAAGCGGGCAUCAAUCCUGCUAACUUCUUAAAAACGCCCUUUCACGGCGGUAACACGGGUUCAAAUCCCGUCGGGGACGCCA